rnacentral:lncRNA from 1 species
CUACACUCUUAAUACAAGGACUUUUCUCAAUAGUACGAUAAUUUAAAAAAGUUAUGCUUAUAUUAUUAUAGUAGAAGAAGUUAUUACAAAUAUAUGAUAGUUUUUGCCACAUAGGAGAGAGGGUGAACGGAAAUUUUUUUUUUAAAAGGGAACUCGUCUCUUCAAGAGACGAGUUCCAUAAAAAAAAAAUUCUCACUUACUCAAGGGAACUCGUCUCUUCAAGAGACAAGUUACAUGAAAAAAAAUAUAUAUAUAUUUUUAAAAAAAUUCCCAAAUUAAAAAAAAAAAAAAAUUCCUCAAUUCCUCAAGGAAACUCGUCUCUUUAAGAGACGAGUUCCCAUUAAAAUAUAUAUAUAUAUAUAUAUAUAUAUAUAUAUAUAUAUAUAUAUAUUAAAAAAAUUCACAAAUUAAAAAAAAAAAAAAAAAACAAUUUAGAACUAAAGGGAACUCGUCUCUUGAAGAGACGAGUUCCCAUAGAAAAAAAUAUAUAUUUUUUUUAAAAUAUAUAUUUUUAUUUAAAAAAAAAAUUCCCAAUUUAAAAAAAAAAUAAAAAACAAUUCCUCAAGGUAACUCGUCUCUUCAAGAGACGAGUUCCCAUGAAAAAAAAUUAUAUAUUUUAAAAAAAUUCCCAAACCCUCAAGGGAACUCGUUUCUUGAAGAGACGAGUUCCCAUGGAAUUUUUUUUUUUAAAUAUAUAUAUAUUUUUUUAAAAAUUCCCAAAUUUAAAAAAAAAAAAAAAAGAAUUUCCUCAAGGAACUCGUCUCUUCAAGAGACGAGUUCACAUGGGAAAAAAAAUACCCAUGGAAAAAAAUAUAUAUAUAUUUUUUAAAUAUAUAUAUAUAUAUAUAUAUAUAUAUUUUAAAAAAUUCCCAAAUUAUAAAAAAAAAAAAAAAAUUCCUCAAGGAACUUGUCUCUUCAAGAGACGAGUUCCCAUGAAAAAAAAAAAAUUUUAAAAAUAUAUAUAUAUAAAAUUCCCAAAUUAAAAAAAAGAAAAGUAGGAAUUUCCUCAAGUGAACUCGUGUCUUGAAGAAACGAGUUCCCUUGAGGAAUUUUUUUUUUUUUUUGGGAAUUUAAUAUAUAUAUAUUUCAUGGAAAUUCCUAGGAAAUUUUUUUUUAAAUUUGGGAAUUUUUUUUCCAUGGCGAAUUGUUUUUUUUUUUUUUUUUCAUUUGGGAAUUUUAAAAAAAUAUAUAUAUUUUUUCAUGGAACUCGUCUCUUGAAGAGACGAGUUCCCUUGUGGAAUUUUUUUUUUUUUUAAAUUUGUGAUUUUUUUUAAAUAUAUUCUUUUUUUUUCAAUUUGGGAAUUUUUUUUAAGAAAAUAUUUUUUUUCCAUGGGAACUCAUCUCUGAGUUCCCUUGAGGAAAUUCCUUUAUUUUUAUUUUAUUUGGAAUUUUUUUUUCCAUGGGAACUCGUCUCUUGAAGAGACGAGUUCCCUUGAGGAAUUUUUUGUUUUUUUAAUUUGGGAAUUUUUAAAAAUAUAUAUAUAUAAAAAAAAUAUUUUUUUUCUAUGGGAACUCGUCUCUUCAAGAGACGAGUUCUCUUGAGUAAAUGGAGAAUUUUUUUUCAUGAAACUCGUCUUUUGAAAAGACUAGUUCCCUUUUUUAAAAAAAUUUAUCCGUUCACCCUCUCUCAUCUCUCCUAUCUCCUCUUUCCUCUCUCUUAUGUGGCAAAAAUUAGCAUAUAUUUGUAAUAACUUCUUCUACUAUAAUAAUUUAAGCAUAACUUUUUUAAAUUAUCGUACUAUUGAGAAAAACCCCUUAAUACAAUGGGUCUCUUGCUUUUUGCUCAUGGCAUCGCCACUCCUUUGGCAGCAUCCACUAAGAACUUAGUUUGGGUCAAAGCUCAAGAAUUGUUCCUGUAAGAACGAGUCCAUGUGUUGUUGUUUUGUGGAUGUUAUUAAGCUUGGAUCUAAUUGAAUUCGGACAAAAGAAACGAGAAAUAGAGAAAAGCUAAAGGCAUCCACUUUUUGGUCCUUGGAAAUUUAUCUACUCUUCCUCGCGUCGCCAGUCCACCCCAAGAUGAUUCCUUUCUCCCUUCGCCCAAUCAUUUGCCGAAUGCUUCCAAUUAAAUUAUUUUGCCUUCGCUUUCCAUGUAAAACCCAAAUAUACUUUCAACUCAGCCUGCCCAUCAAUCUUAUCUCCUCGAUCAAGCUGCUCAAGUUACAGUAAGAGGACCCACCUUCACUAACACAUUUUCUAGCCCUUGUAGCCAUCAUGUCAGCCGUUUUCAAAAGCUCAUCCCGCCUCUCUUCCAUCAGAUCUCUCACCAUUUUCUCAACAAUAAGUCUAUCGCAAGUAUCUUUCAUGUCCGAACCAAGUUUCCAAACAUGGCUUACGAACCUACUGUUGAUCUGUUGGUCUGCAAAGUAUGGCCAGCAAAUCAUUGGCACGCCGGCGCAUAUACUCUCAAGAGUCGAGUUCCACCCACUGUGGGUGAGGAACCCACCUACUGCCGGGUGCGCUAGAACCUCUUCUUGUGGAGCCCACUCCACGAUGUAACUCCUCUCCUUUGCCCCUUCCAAGAGCUCCGCCGGAGUCUGACGCUCUCCAUCUUCUUCGGCAAGAGAGUCCGUCCGUAUGACCCACAAGAAGCGGCUACCGCUGUUUACCAAACCGUAACAGAACUCUAUGAGCUGCUUCCUUGUGAUGACUGUCACGCUUCCGAAACUUACGUAGAUAACAGACUUUGAAGGCUGACGGUUAAGCCACGCUAUGCAGCUUCUGUCUUCUUGCCGUAAACUGUUUGAAGACUGUGACGUCGUCGAUUCAGAAGCAAGCCUGGUUUCCAGGUGCGCGUGGAGAGGUCCAAUGGUGUAGGUUUUUGGACAGUGAUUGCGUAUUUGACCGAGAAUAGGUCCUUCUAAGUCUUCAAACGUAUUAAGUAUGAGCGCGUAGGCUCGAGGAGUUUGUUGCGUCUCCUUCGUUACAAGUAGGAGACGCUCGUCAUCUAGGUUGCUGACUCGGAUAAGACUCGGGAGAUCUCGUUUUCGGAGAAACCCCUCCAUGCCGGGAAUACUGGUUACUAGCUGAUCCAUAUCGUUACCUGUAGUUUAUUCAUGAUCUAACUAUAUUGUAAAAGAAGAAAACAAAAAUAUAAACGAAUUAUAAUGAACAGAUGAUUUCGUGGAAUUCAAUCUAGAAAGCAUACCUUUGAGGGGAAGUUCGCCAGAUUCAAUGAGUUUGAGCGCAGAAAAAUAUGCCCAGAAGGAACAAGCACUAAUGGUGCGGAAAGAAAUGAUGGGAAUUCCAACUUCAUUAGCAAUAUCAAUGGUAAAACUCAUAAUCCCAUCUGCUAUGAUGCAGUUGACCGGCGGGAGGGUAUCAGAACCCUGGCCCCUUGAAAUCACUAGCUCCCUAAAAAUUGGUUUUGCUGUGGCUUUCAAUCCCUCAAACAGAUCCAUCACCCGCUCACCGGUACGUGGAUGGUCCGUGGUAAGCCCAUCAGAUAUUGUUUGGAAACGGAAGCCAGGAUAGCGGCUGAACCUGGUCUGAAUAUCGGCGUGAAGGAGGAGGCGGUGUUGGUUAUAUUCGGAGUUGAGGAAGGUGACGUGGAGGCCGGCGACGGAGAGAAGUUCGGCGAGUUUGAGCAUGGAGUUGACGUGGCCUUGAGCCGGGAAGGGGAAGAUGAGGACAUGAGGAGACACUGGCCCUUGAUCCAUCUGACUAUUGGUGGACUAUUGUUACAGGAUAGAACAUGAAUUUAUGCAGUAUUUGUAAGGAAAUAAUCGGUAUAUCCCAAAAAGCGCUAGUGGCUUUCUUGUCUUCAUCAAUGUAUAUUACAGCUAGGUGGACGGCAAUUCUUUGACGCCGUUUCCUGUGAAAUUAUUUUAAUUAAUGGCCGGGAAAGAACUGAGGGUAAAAACAGUCUAAUGUUUUUGAGAAGAAAAAAUUAACGGAAAACAUUUCUUUAUCAAUAGGGUUUCAAGAUUGACGUCUGUCAACUGUUUGUCGGAGGAUGUUUUCCACGACACAUAAAUACAUUUUUGUUAUACGUUUUAAUACCAAAUACUAGCCAUGCAAAAUUCUAAUGCAUGGCAGAAGGAUCUUUAGCUGUCUAUAAAUAUGUUACCAUUAUGCACCCUAUCUUAUUUUUUUUCUCUCUUAAAAUAGAAAAUAAAAGGAAUUUACUAACCCUUAUGUUAUGUUUGAUUACCACAAAGUUAAAAGGAAAUGCAAGGCAAAAAAAAGCAGAGAGAAAAAGUAGAAAAUAAAAUAUAAAUAAAUAAAAAAUAAAUUAAAAGUUAAUAAAUUAUUUUAAUACAUUACAUUAAAUUUUUUUUUCACUUAUUUAGCUAUUCUAUAAAAAUAUUAGAUAAUUUUAAGUGUAUAUAUUUUUUAAUAAUUUUAAUUAUAUUUUAUUUUUUUUAGCAUUUUUUAUAAUAAAACCAAAUAUGAAUUUUUUUUUUUUUGCAUUUUUUUCUCUAGUACUAUCGAGGAACCAAACAUGGCUCUAAACAGUGGUUUGGUCGUGGCUUUCAUUCCAUCAAACAUAUCCUUCAAUUGGACACCGGUUCGCGGAUGAUCCAACGGCAGCCCAUCGGAUAUCGUUUGGAAACGAAAGCCAGCAUAGCGCGUGAAUCUGUCCAGAAUGUUGGUGUAACGGAGGAGGCGGCUGUGGGUGUAGUAGGAGUUGAGGAAGGUGAUGCGGAGGCCGGCGAGGGAAAGAAGUUCGGCGAGUUUGAGCAUGGAAUUGACAUGGCCUUGAAUGGGAAAAGGGAAGACAAGGACAUGGGGAGAGACAGACCGAUGUUCCAUGUCGAAUUUUGGUAAGGUAGCACCUUAAUUUCCUAACAUUAACAUUCAUGGCCCAUGACUCCAUGUGGGAUUUAUAACGAAAUAAACUCUCUUCAUUGCUCCUAGUGCCCACUGCUCAGCUUCGGCCUUGUGGGCGUACACGCGUAUUAAUUAGGUAACCAUGGUAGGUUUGAGAUUCGCUCCAGUACUUCUGAUUCCAUGUUUUUGUAUUUUAUAAAGUUUUAGAAAAUAGCAAAUAACAUGUUUUUUUUAGAAAGUAAAUAUAUAUUCAAAUGCCAGCUCAGCAAGUAGUAUUUUACUCUUGAAAUAAAAAUAUAUUUAAGGAUGAUGACGUAUUUUAUAACAUAGUUUAACAUAUCUAUAUUUUAACUAUGAGAGAUUUAUUUCGUCGUAUCAUAAAAUGUGUAUUAUAACUACAUAUGUCUACACAACUUUUUAAUCAUGUGAAAACCGUGGUAGAAGUAUUUUAGGGCUUUAGCUAGCUCCGGGAUUAACAAUUGACUGAUUAGCAUCGUGGAAUUAUUGACUAGAGGGAUUUAUAACAGAAGAAAAAACUUAAAUUAAAAGUAAAUGUAUCUUUCACAUACCAUCAAAGCAAUCAAGAGUGAGAAUAGAAAAUAGAAUUAUAUAAUUACAAAAUCUUCCCAAAAGAUUCUAUCAAUUUCCGAAUUCUGCACCCAGUAUUAUAUAUUAACCGUGCUGGCCCAUUGAUGUCCAUGGGCCAUAAACUUCCUUCCCAAGUCUAACUCUUGUAAGCCCAUUAGGACUGAUUAAAUUGAAGAAACCUAGAACUGUGGAUUAAGGCCCAUCACCUAGAAUUUGACGAUGGAAAGUGGUGGAAGGUUGGAGAGACGUCUCGUUCCUAUCCAAACUGGAAGUGUCCAGAAGGGUCAGGAAACCACCACAAUCCUCUUUCACCUCCUAUAUAGAGAGCUCAUCUCUAUCCCUUUCAUCAUCAAGAAAUCGUUCGAAGCCUGCGUACGAGAUAUUUCGCCUUUCAGCAAAUCAAUUCAAUUUGAUCGAUCGACCAAAAAUGGCACUCAUUUCAAGUGUUCUUGGUGGUGGCCGACGGAGCAACAUCUUUGAUCCCAUCUCUCUAGAUAUCUGGGAUCCCUUCGAAGGCUUUCCUUUUAGCACCACUCUUGCCAACGUUCCUAACAGCGCUCGCGAAACCUCUGCCUUCGUCAACACCCGUAUUGAUUGGAAAGAGACUCCCGAAGCUCAUGUUUUCAAGGCGGAUCUUCCAGGGUUGAAGAAGGAGGAAGUGAAGGUUGAGGUUGAAGAGGGCAGAGUACUUAAAAUUAGUGGAGAGAGGAGUAAGGAGCAGGAGGAGAAAAAUGAUAAAUGGCAUCGGGUGGAGAGGAGCAGCGGCAAGUUCCUUCGCCGGUUCAGGUUGCCGGAGAAUGCUAAGAUGGAUCAAGUCAAGGCUACUAUGGAGAACGGUGUGCUAACUGUGAGGGUUCCAAAAGAAGAGGUGAAGAAGCCGGAGGUCAAGGCGAUCGAGAUAUCUGGUUAAGUCAUUAGAAGGUUGACGGCCAUCAAGAGACAUGAUGUUUUCAAAUUUAGCUACUGGGCAUGUGUAUGCAAGGCAGUUUUGUUAUCCCUUUUUGGUUGUGUUUUUCCUUUUUAUGUGGGUUUAAAUAAAUGUGUAUCAUCAUAAGGUGUGUUUUAAAGUAUAUAAAUGAAUAAUUUUCUUUAAUUAGAAAUGAUUAAGAUGUUUUGUUAUUUGAUGAUUUUUUACUAUUGGGUGACGUCAAUAUUCACCUUUGAAAUGCUUCAAUUAAUUCUAAAAUUUUGAUGUUGGUGAACCCCUAGCUCCACAUGAAGCCUAAAAAAACAAGGGGCUUUUAUCAGGUAUCGGUGAGAUAUCUCACCAGUGAGACUUAUCAUGGUUGAAAUAUGCGGCAUUUUUGUGAAAAAAUUUCCGAUUUUUCGGUGAGUGGUCACCGCGGGGUCCAGCUGAAGCCAUUCUGGUCAACGCUUACAUUUACACUUUUUGUUUUUCCAUUGCAGCCGGAGUGCUCACCGUGGGUCAGCUGAAGCCAUUCCAGUCAACGCUUGCAUUUACAUUUUUUGUUUGUUGUGCAGCGCCUUUAUAAACAUGGUCCUCUUCAUGCUAAUAUAAGUAUAAGUUUUUAUUUAUUUAUUAACUUAUAUAAAAGAUCCUUUAACUAAUGCAUUUCAAUAUUGUGUCUUAAUCUUUUGAAUAUUAUAAUUGGUAAUACCUUUGUGAAUAUAUCAAUUAAAUUAUCACUACUUCUCUAGAGAUCAUGCAUAUAAAUGAACUUUAGUGAAAUAUGUUUGUUGUUGUCUUUUUUUUCUAAUAUAACCUCAUUUAAUUAUGUAUGCAACAUUAUCUUUAUAAAUUAUUCCUAAUUUCUUUUAGAUCGAGGAUAGUAUACAUGAUUUCUGAAUAUGUUGGAUUGUAGAUAUUGGUCAUAUACACAUAUGUAUUAACCUUAAAAGUUUUAAUUUAAAAUUUCAAUUGUUUAUAUGUAAUUUUAAAUUCUUUAUUUUUAAAUUUCAAAUUAUUUGUUUGCAUAUUCUAUUUGUUAAAUCAAAGUACUAAUAACUUUAAUAAAAUAUGCAAAAAUUCUAACAAACUUAUAUUGAAAAACUACUAUUUCAAACUUUAAAAUUUGAAGUGAUUUUUGAAGAUAUAAAAUAAAUUUAUAUUUUUAAAUAAAAUAUUAAGGUUAUUUUUUGUUCUUAGAAAAUUUGAGAAAAAAUAUAAAGAAAAGAAAAUAUAAAGAAAAAUAGAAGGAAAGAAAAAAUGAAGGAAAAAAAAAAGAUUUAAAAUUGAUAAAUUAUUUUUAUAUAUUUCUUAAAACUCAUUUAACCUAUUUCUCUCCAUUAUAUAAAUUUUUGGGGAAUUUUAAUUAUAUUUGGUUUUUUUUUUUUUUUGUGAUGAAAUUGAAUAUGCAAAAACAAUUUUUCCUUAUAAUUUUUUUUAGUACUUUUUAAAAAUCAAACACAACCUAAAAGUUUCUUUUCUUAAAAAAAAAAAAAAAAAACAAAAUAGGUAGAAAACAACCAACCACUAAAUUUUUUAUUUUGAAAUCUAAAGUUUUAAAUUUUUAAAUAAUUUUAAUUACAAUAUAAAUAAAUAGGAAUGUGACAAGUAUUUAAUCCACCUAAUGAACAGACGCAUGCAAAAACGACCGGCACGGACCAAAGGUUUAAAAAUUGGAUUCAACCAUGAAUCGCGUUAUCAAUUCAAUCAAGAGAUUAGAUUUUCUACCCUUCACAUCCUGUGAACUAUUGGUCCAACAUUUGUUUUUAUAAGAACCAUUUUCUUGAUUACUGGAGUUUUAUUUUUUUAUUUUUUGCCAUUUUUAUGGUGAUGCCUUUUUUUUAUUGUGUCCCCGCACCACUUCAAUCAUUUGUUACCCUUUUCUUUAUUGCUGGCACUCUGUUUGUUUUUUUUUUUUUUUGGUCAUUUCUUAUCCCUUUCUCUAUCAUUGGCGCAUUUUUUUCUUUCUUUCUUUUUAAAAAUAUUAAUUUGGGAAUUUUCAAAUUUAAAUUCUGAUUUUUUUUUUUCAAAUAUUUAUACCAACACACUUUUUCAAAAACUGGACUGGACUAGGCCAUCCGACCACUGGCCUGUCACGGUUCCGAUCCGGUCAUUUAGCAUGAAAAAUGUUCGGACCGGAAUUAGGUCGGUUAAACUGGUGGUUCGAUCGGAGAACCCAAUAAACCGGACGGUUCUCUUCGAACCGUCCGAUUCAAUUUUAUUUAUUUUUUCCAUUGUCGUCAUCCCCCGCCGGUAGGACCCACCUCGCGUUGGAAAAGCCCGUUCUCGUCGUCCCUCGCUGCUGGAAAAGCACUCUACAGUCUACGCUGCAAAGCCACCCCCGCGACCCCGCUGAAACCCCCCCAUCCAGCGCUGGAAAAGCCCCUCCUCUUGUCGUCCCCCACCGGCAGAACCCCCCACUCCCUGUGACCUUACUGGAAAAGCCCCCCUCGUCUUUUCUCGCCGGCAGGACCCACCCUUCUUGUAAAGCCACCCCUUACAAAGCCACCCACCCAUCCCCUGCGUUUCCUCGCCCCCCUGGGAGAGAGAAUUCUUAGAAAGAGAAAGAGUUUAUAGAGAGAGGAGAUGAGAAGGGAGGGGAAGAGAGAGAGAGGAGGGGCGUGCAUGUAACCAGGGACAACACGUAGAUAACGCACACAGAUAUCAUCACACACAAAUAUCCUAUCAGAUGGCGUAGAUAUGAGAGAGGUGGACCCACUUUUCAGUAAUUAAAUUUAAUUUUCUCAUUCUUGCCUCCAAUUUACAUGUUAUUAUAUUUUAUAUCCUAAUUUUACAAAACUUUAUUUAGUUAUAGAAAGAGAAAAAAGCUUUAUUAUAUUUUUGGCCUUGUAGGUGUUUGGCCUCCAUCCUUUUCAUCCCGACCUUUCAACUUCAUCCACAAAUUAAUUUGCUUUAGACGUGGAUGUUUUUAACUCAUAUCAAAUUAUGAGCCUCCUCAUCAUGUGAUUUGAAAACACUAUUUUGUUUUUUAAAAUCAAAAUUUAAAAUAAAUUUUUAUUUUUAUUUUUAUAAUUAUUUUAAAUUUUAAUGAUUUAUAAAUUAUAUAUUUAUGACUUCGACCGUCAAUCCGACCAUUGAACUGUGAACCAAUAACUUUUUCGGUAUAAUAAUCGAUCUGGUUCUAAAAACAUUGUUUUUUUCCACAAGCAUAAGCCAACCACUAGGUUAGAUGUAGCUUCAAAUAUUUUAACGAUAUAGUAUUAUUUUCCAUCUAUUUCCCAUGCUAUGAUUUAUAACAAUUAAAUAUUUUUUAAAUCUUUAAAUUAAAUAAUUUAAAUGCGGGGAUGAUUAUAAGAAAAAAUAUAAAUAAAAAAAUACAUUUUAAAAAUAAUUAAACAAUGAAAUAUAUUUGCUAUUUUAACGUCAAAUAUGUUUUUUUUUUUUUUGGUAAAAGCCAAACAAUUUCGAUGACCCAUUAAAUUCCUUUUGGUGUUAAAAGCCUAAUAGUCCCAUUCUGAUCGGGUCGGUAAGGAAAUUUGGAAAUGGGCCUGGAAUUGUGAAAUAAGGCCUAGUAAGGAUGAAAAAAGGCCAAGUAGAUGAUGGAAGGUAGUAGAAGAUUGCAGAAACAUCUCGUUCCUCUCCAAAGUCCAAACAGGAAAUAUCUCAGAAACGUCGGGAAAGUACCACAACUCUCCGUCACCCUCAAUAUGUAGCAAGUCUAGGGAUGGCAACGGGGCGGGUUUUUUCGGGUACCCGCCCCGCCCCGCCCCUAAUGGGAUGGGAUAAAAAUGUAUUAAACGGGUUUGGGACGGGUAUGAGAUUUUUUUUAAAACCCGGGGCGGGUUCGGGGCGGGUUUGGGUAUUCCCCCGCCCCACCCCGCCCUCGUUUACAUAUAAAGUAAACCAACAGCAAAGUGAAGAGCGGCUGCAUUUUUUCCCAAUUUUGAUCAGUUUUUCUGUCUUCGAUCGAAAUCUUUGGAGUUUCUGAAGACUUUCAGUGUUCAAUUUCAACUCAGGUAAGUCCUCAAGCGUCGUCGUUUUAGGCUCAGCUUUUCAAGACGCUAUCAAUUUCUCUUACUCGUUUGGAGCUCCGGAUCGCCGAUUUAGGGUUCGAUCGAUGUGUUUAGGUUCUUGUCUUUUGGGUUUUUGUUUGAUUUUCUAUUUUUGAGUGUUAAUUUUUUUUUUGUUUGCUUUUUUUAUUUUCUCUAAAUCUUUUGGGGUUUAAAGAUUGGAAUUUGAGGUGCGAGGUGUGAAAAAGAACUUAUCUUUGUUGGGUUUGUGAGGUUUGGAGAUUUGGAUUUGUGUUGGGAGUCGAUUGAAGUCGUUUUGUGAUGAUUUUAGUGAGGGUUUGGAGUGACAGGCCAUCGAGAUUCUGAACCCCUGUUUUGUAUUAGGAGUUCGAUUCGUUGAUUGGUUGCCCUUUUGUAGAAUGUUUGAAGCUUUACUUGAUCUAAAAACUCAUCAAUUGUACAGCGGUUCACUGAAGAAAUCGCUGAGCUAGUCCAAUUCUAGAAUGUUCAGAAUCAAAGCUUGUUGCUUGGUUUUGGUUUUUUUUGGCUUUCCUCUUGUGUUUGGUAACGCCCAACUCCGUAUGCUCAGGCACAAAGCUUCCCCAUUUCUUUUGGUGCACAACAAGGACUCUGGAGUUUCUGGCCUUGAUUUUGGGUGUAAACUGCUUGAUGGGAUGAGGGAAAUGUCAGGUUUUGCUCACUUUGUUGUGUAACUGGAAGUUUAUUUGAAUCUUGUGGUGUACUUGAGUGAGUGUUUGUAGAUUGUUAUUUUGGAAAGAUGGUGCCAUCCGGGCCACCCACUCCCAUAGGUGGAGCCCAACCUGUUCCCCCUUCACUUUUGCGUUCGAAUUCUGGUAUGUUAGGAGCUCAGACGGGUUCUGUGCCACCCCAAACAGGGUUCCCUUCGCUUGUGUCUCCAAGAACUCAAUACAAAUUUUUUAAAAGUAAUUUAAAAAAAAAAAAAGCUAAGCGGGGGCGGGGCGGGGCGGGGCGGGNNNNNNNNNNNNNNNNNNNNNNNNNNNNNNNNNNNNNNNNNNNNNNNNNNNNNNNNNNNNNNNNNNNNNNNNNNNNNNNNNNNNNNNNNNNNNNNNNNNNAACUUCUUCUAUGCAAGCUUCGAACAAUUUCUUGAUGAUCAAAUUGAUGGAGAGGACUUGCUUAGGAAUGGCAACGGGGCGGGUUCGGGACGGGUCGCCCCCAUCCCAACCCCGUCCCGUUUAGCAAAAUCAAUUCCCAUCCCCGCCCCGUUUAAUUUUUUAAACGGGACGGGGAUGGGAAUUGAUUUUGCUAAACGGGACGGGGUUGGGAUGGGGGCGACCCGUCCCGAACCCGCCCCGUUGCCAUUCCUAAGCAAGUCCUCUCCAUCAAUUUGAUCAUCAAGAAAUUGUUCGAAGCUUGCAUAGAAGAAGUUCUUGGUAUUCUCAGCAAAUCAAUUCGACAACGUACGUAGAAAAUGUCGCUUAUUCCAAGUAUUUUGGGUGGUGGCCAACGAAGUAGCAUUUCGAUCCUUUCUCCCUAGACAUCUGGGAUUCUUUCGAAGGCUUUCCUUUCAACGCCACUCUUUCCAACAUUCCCAGCACUGUUGGCGAGACCUCGGCCUUCGCCAACACACGUGUUGAUUGGAAAGAGACACUGGUAGCUCAUGUUUUCAAGGCGGAUCUUCCAGGGUUGAAGAAGGAGGAAGUGAAAGUUGAGGUUGAAGAGGGAAGAGUCCUUCAAAUCAGCGGAGAGAGGAGUAAGGAGCAAGAGGAGAAGAACGACAAGUGGCAUCGCAUGGAUAGGAGUAGCGGGAAGUUCCUUUGCAGAUUCAGGUUGCCAGAAGAUGCAAAAACGGAUGAGGUCAAAGCUAGCAUAGAGAAUGGAGUGCUGACUAUGACGAUUCCGAAAGAAGAGGUGAAGAAGGCUGAGGUGAAGGCCAUUGAAAUAUCUGGCUAAGUCAUUGGUCAGAUUUUUUCUAAUUUUCUAUGUAAUUAAGAAGCUAAUUGAUUGUUUUGCUAGAUUGGGCAUGUAUAUGUAAUUUGAAAGAUGUGAUGUGAUGAUUUUUGUCUUGUAUUUUUAUUUUGCAAAUUUUCCCCUUUUUCUUAUGUAAGUGUAUUCUAAGUGGAAUAAAGGAAUAGUUGGUUUUUUCUAACUAGAAAUGAGUUACCAACAUGAUUAUCUCUUUCCUAAGGGAUCCCAAUUUUCACCUUUGAAAUCCUUCAAUUUUAAGACGUGGUUGCGCUGGGUUGAUAUGUUCCAUAUAUAGGUUGGUAAUUGAAUCUGUUACCUCUUUGAUUGAUUCAUAUUUCUAUUUCUAUUCCAAUGUUCAGUCAUAUCCACAGAAAGUGUUAUAUUUAAUCCUGAAUUUACUGUAGCUUUUCUGGCGAUUAUACACAAUAUACUCUUGAGAAUAUUCAUCUCAUCUGAGGCCAUUUACUAUUUUGUUCCUAAUAUUUGGUCCCUAAUUUGGGGGAAAAUGGUGUCAGAACCCAAAUCCAUCCACGUAUUACCUCAUAUAUGAGAAGCAGAAAUUUUGUUUUGGAAUUGUUUUUUAAAAUAGUUUAUUGUUUCUUAGAAUAAAAAAUAGAAAUUGUUUUCUACCUUUAAAAAUAAAAAAUAAGAUAUUCUUAAAAGAAUAUUUUUUAGGUAUUUUUAAUUGUUUUUUUUAUGAUUUUUAUAAAAAAAUUUAUAUAUAUAUAUAAUAAUUAAAAUUUUAAAAAUAAAUAAAAUUUAUUUUUAAAAUAUGGAAAAUAUGUUAACAACAUUUUCAAGUUUUUAAACACACUUAUUUUUUGUUUUUAGAAAGGGAAACUAUUUUUCACAUUGGAAAAUUCUGGUAUAAUUUUUUAAAUAGAAAACAAUGUUUUGAGGACUUUUUUUUUUUCUUUCAAAAUAAGGCCUUUUAUGAAAACAUAUGGUAUUUGUUUCAAGUUAUUUUAAUUUUCUUUUUAAAUAUUUUUUUAAAAUAAUUAUAUGAGUAUUAAAAAUAAUUGAAAAUAAAGUAUUUUGUAUAAAAAUUAUUUUUUAAAGUAUUUAAUUAUAUAAAAAUCACAGACACACUUUUAUUUUUAAUAAACGUCAAAUAAUUAUGUUAUUAUUUUUAAAAUCUGUUUGUCAAGGGUUAGUUUUUUCAAUAAGUGUUCCGAACACGCUUUCAAAGCCUAAAUGAUUCCUUUGGAGGAAUUAGGGAAUUAAGAAAUUAAGGCAUGCAGGUGUGGAAUUUUAAGGGUUGCUUGGAAUCUUGGGGCACUAGGACAAAUAAGACUUGGCUUUGUCUUUGAUAGAAAAAUGUGGAUCAAUUUGAUAGAGAAGGGUUCCACUUUUUAGGUUCCAACCCCACAUUAGACGCGGCAAAAGGUCAUGGUUUGCUAUUAUCUUAUGGAGUAACAUUUGAUAAAUAAUUAUUCUAAAAAAACAUUCAAAAAAUAUAUCUUCAUUAAAAAUAUUUUUAGUAGAAUUAUUUGAUUAUAUUUUCAAAUAAAAUAUUUUCAAAAAUUUGUUAAUAUUUUUUUCCUUUUGAUAGUGAAACAGAUAGUAAAACAAGACAUGGCGGCUGCUGGUGAUGGUGAAUCGGUGAUGUAUGAGUGCAGAACCAUUUGCUGAGGCCAAGGACUAAGGCCAAGAGAGUAUGCAAGUUGUUGAAUGCAUGGUCAAUUGUCGAGUAAAAACUCACUCUCAUGAUGAUCCAUAUGCAUUUUCUAGGAGCCAUCUGCCGUGACCUAAAAAUUGAAGAAAAGUAAUGAAAUUUCUUAGCAGUGUAAAAGAUGGAGAAGUAAAAAUGAGAAAAUCCCAUACAUAUAUUACAUUGUCUAAUGUGUUAUACAUGGUCUUUGGUCUGCGCAGAAAUUAAGCUGCUAUCACCUAAUUCCCUGGAGAUAAUUUUGAGUCACGUACUGAACUACACUCUUAAUACAAUGGGUCUCUUGCUUUUUGCUCAUGGCAUCGCCACUCCUUUGGCAGCAUCCACUAAGAACUUAGUUUGGGUCAAAGCUCAAGAAUUGUUCCUGUAAGAACUAGUCCAGGUGUUGUUGUUUUGUGGAUGUUAUUGAGCUUGGAUCUAAUUGAAUUCGGACAAAAGAAACAAGAAAUAGAGAAAAGCUAAAGGCAUCCACUUUUCGGUCUUUGGAAAUUUAUCUACUCUUCGCC